rnacentral:rRNA from 1 species
UACGUAGGGGGCAAGCGUUGUCCGGAAUCAUUGGGCGUAAAGAGCGUGUAGGCGGCUCGGUAAGUCCGCUCUGAAAGCCCGGGGCUCAACCCCGGAAGGCGGGCGGAUACUGUCGGGCUAGAGUGCGGGAGAGGCGAGUGGAAUUCCCGGUGUAGCGGUGAAAUGCGUAGAUAUCAAGUGGAACACCAGUGGCGAAGGCGAGUCUCUGGACAUUUCCUGACGCUGAGGCACGAAAGCCAGGGGAGCAAACGGG